UACGGAGGGUGCAAGCGUUAUCCGGAUUCACUGGGUUUAAAGGGUGCGUAGGAGGACUGGUAAGUCAGUGGUGAAAUCCCCGAGCUUAACUUGGGAACUGCCGUUGAUACUAUCAGUCUUGAAUACCGUGGAGGUGAGCGGAAUAUGUCAUGUAGCGGUGAAAUGCUUAGAUAUGACAUAGAACACCAAUUGCGAAGGCAGCUCACUACACAAAGAUUGACACUGAGGCACGAAAGCGUGGGGAUCAAACAGG
rnacentral:rRNA from 1 species